UGGUGGAACGAUUUGUCUGGUCAAUUCCGGUAACGAACGAGACUCUAGCCUACUAAAUAGUUCGGGGACCCCCACAAAGGGGCCCCGCUUCAACUUCUUAGAGGGACAGGUGGAGUUUAGCCACACGAGAUUGAGCAAUAACA
rnacentral:rRNA from 1 species